rnacentral:rRNA from 1 species
AUUGAACGCUGGCGGCAGGCUUAACACAUGCAAGUCGAGCGGGGUGAUGGUGCUUGCACUAUCACUUAGCGGCGGACGGGUGAGUAAUGCUUAGGAAUCUGCCUAUUAGUGGGGGACAACAUCUCGAAAGGGAUGCUAAUACCGCAUACGUCCUACGGGAGAAAGCAGGGGAUCACUUGUGACCUUGCGCUAAUAGAUGAGCCUAAGUCGGAUUAGCUAGUUGGUGGGGUAAAGGCCUACCAAGGCGACGAUCUGUAGCGGGUCGGAGAGGAUGAUCCGCCACACUGGGACUGAGACACGGCCCAGACUCCUACGGGAGGCAGCAGUGGGGAAUAUUGGACAAUGGGGGGAGCCCUGAUCCAGCCAUGCCGCGUGUGUGAAGAAGGCCUUAUGGUUGUAAAGCACUUUAAGCGAGGAGGAGGCUCUUUUGGUUAAUACCCAAGAUGAGUGGACGUUACUCGCAGAAUAAGCACCGGCUAACUCUGUGCCAGCCGCCGCGGUAA